rnacentral:rRNA from 1 species
UACGUAGGAUGCAAGCGUUGUCCGGAAUUAUUGGGCGUAAAGAGCGCGCAGGCGGUAUGACAAGUCAGAUGUGAAAGAGGCCGGCUUAACCGGCAAGGGUCAUUUGAAACUGUCAGACUAGAGUGCAGCAGAGGAUAAUGGAAUUCCCGGUGUAGUGGUGAAAUGCGUAGAGAUCCGGAGGAACACCAAAGGCGAAGGCAGUGUCCUGGGGAGUACCUGACGCUCAGGUGCGAAAGCCAGGGGAGCGAACGGG